CUAUUACCAAGACUGAUUUCACAAACGAAGAAUUUGACAAAGGUUCCAAGAGUGAGGAAACUGAGGUUGUGAAAGAGAGCAACGAAGACAAGCCUGAUCCUGAGAGCUCUGGUGAGGAGAAGACGGAGCAGGUUGAGGAGAAGAAGGAGUUUGAAGACAAGAAUGGUGAAGGGGAUAGAAAAGAUGGAGAGGGUGAGUCAGAAAGUGAUGAAACGAAGCAGAAAGAGAAGACACAGUUGGAAGAGAGCUCAGAGGAAAA
rnacentral:lncRNA from 1 species